UCUCUUAGGCCUGUUAUGACAGGAAAAGAGGUGGGGUUUGGAGGAGGGGGGGGGGGCAGUACAGUACACGCUGCUUGUUAGAUGGUCGAUUUCACCACAGGGGCAAAACUCCAGCUGAGCAAAUCAGAGCUCAUUGAAGACUGAAGCUUGGAGAGAAAGAGCAGGAGCAAGGGACUGACUGCCUCCUUGAUGGGCAUUGCAUGUGUGUUAUUCUGUCCCUGGAUCCAUCAGCCGAAGGACAGCGGGAGUCACCCACCCAUGUUACCUGUGACUAGCCCUGUUUUUUCCACCUCCUCUGGAAAUUGCCAUCAUUUUAAUGCUCAGUGUUCACCUCUCUCUCUAGUCUCCAUUUCCAUCUCUCUGCCUCUGUCUCAUGCCUGCCUUCAUUCCAGAAAUUGUAGACGAGAGGUCAUUUCUCAGCUGACCUUCCUGUUUAAAAUGAAGGUAGAUGAAUUACAGCUCAAAUAAAUAAAAAAUGUGGCUUUCACAAAAUAACGUAACAUUUAUUUGACAAAAUUAGUUUUAUGUCCUUUAUCCAUAAACACGAGAGAGUAGAACAGUGGUGUGUGACAUAUGGGGGAAAAAUGGAAAUUAUAUUUACGUUUAGCAUAAGAGCACUUAAAUAGGCAUUUUCCUGUGCUUCCAUUUGUACCGUUUUACUUCUGGUUCUCCGGACUGGUAGGUUGUAAUACCUGCAUCCUUAUAAUCAAUGAAAAAGUACAGGUCUCAAUGGCUUUUAGCCUGCAAAUAUUUGAGCAUUUCUACGUAAGCUUUUACUGAAGAAAUUAUUGAACCUUUCAAGUUAUGUAAGCUGUGUUUUUAUUACCAUGAAUAUUCAAUGUUUGCAGCUUUGAAAACUGUCUUGCUAGCUGUCAGAUGGAAGAGAUGAAUUGUUUUGAGAUUAAUUGAUGAGUGAUGGAUUAUAGGUUUACUAUGCAUUAGUUCAGGUGGUAUUUUAUAAAUAUGCUGGACAUAUCAUCAACAGGAUUUUAAUUUUUGUCGCAUGAUAAGUGUUGGUAAUUGUAAGACAACAUUCUUACAUUUUGUGGUUAGCAUUUUAAAAUCUGAUCAGUUACUUCAACUCUGUAUGCAAAUAAGUAUGAUUAAAAUCUGUAUGAUUAAAAUAAAAAUAAACUUAUUCUCUUGUUUCUCACCAGUUAAUGCCUACUCUUUGUGAGCUGCAUAUUCUCUUCUGUUUCUUAGUAUUUUUGGUGAAUAAGAAUUUUAAAAGAUGAAAAAUGAAUGAAAUGGCAUGUGGUGGUAGAAGCAGACUUGGAUUUGGACGGCUGUGGGACUGAAGCUCUCUGACGUCUGGCCGCAGCGGGUCAGAGUAACACUCAGCUACAUUAAUCUGGUACACCUUUGGAGCCGGAUAAAAACUGCAUGAGGCUACACACAGAAGGGGGCAGGCUGGUAGCUAUGCCUGAGGACAAUAUAGCUGCUAUGCAGCAAGUGGAAGUGUGUUCUCCAGAUGAGAGCUUGCUGAGCCAGUGUUGGUCUCACUUAUGAAAGCAUGACUGUGCAGAGAAAUGGACACAUGUAAGAGUGCUUUUUCCUGUAAAAAUAAAAAGGGAGGGGUUAUA